GACGAACGCUGGCGGCGUGCUUAACACAUGCAAGUCGAACGGAAAGGCCCUGCUUUUGUUGGGUGCUCGAGUGGCGAACGUGUGAGUAACACGUGAGUAACCUGCCCUUUGCUUUGGGAUAACUUCAGGAAACUGGUGCUAAUACCGGAUAUGAGCUCCUGCUCCAUGGGGGGUUUUGGAAAGUUUCGGCGGUUGGGGAUGGACUUCUGGCUUAUCAUCUUGUUGGUGGGGGAGUGGUUUACCAAGGCCUUGACGGGUAGUCGGCCUGGGAGGGUGACGGGGCACAUUGGGACUGAGAUACGGCCCAGAGUCGUACUGGGGGCAGCAGUGGGAAAUAUUGCACAAUGGGCGGAAGCCGGAGGCAGCAACGCCGCGUGCGGGAUGACGGCAUUCGGGUUGUAAAACGCUUUAGCCUGUGACGAAGCGUGAGUGACGGUAAUGGGUAAAGAAGCACCGGCUAACUACGUG
rnacentral:rRNA from 1 species